GGACCCAGAUCUGGGAACGGUACUCUGUCACAGUCGCAGAUGCGGGUUCGAAUCCUGCCGGGUCCA
rnacentral:tRNA from 1 species